ACAUGCAGAGAUGUAUGGUCCGAAAGGGCCGUAUACAGGUGGUGCAUGGUUGUCGUCAGCUCGUGUCGUGAGAUGUUGGGUUAAGUCCCGCAACGAGCGCAACCCUCGUUCUAUGUUGCCAGCGGUUCGGCCGGGGACACAUAGGAGACUGCCGUGGUCAACACGGAGGAAGGUGGGGAUGACGUCAAAUCAUCAUGCCCCUUAUGUCUAGGGCUGCACGCGUGCUACAAUGGCUGGUACAAAGGGCUGCGAUACCGCAAGGUGGAGCGAAUCCCAAAAAGCCAGUCUCAGUUCGGAUUGGGGUCUGCAACUCGACCCCAUGAAGUUGGAGUCGCUAGUAAUCGCAGAUCAGCAAUGCUGCGGUGAAUACGUUCCCGGGCCUUGUACACACCGCCCGUCACGUCACGAAAGUCGGUAACACCCG
rnacentral:rRNA from 1 species